GUGGGGAAUAUUGGGCAAUGGGCGAAAGCCUGACCCAGCAACGCCGCGUGAAGGAAGAAGGUCUUCGGAUCGUAAACUUCUAUCCUUGGUGAAGAUAAUGACGGUAGCCGAGAAGGAAGCCCCGGCUAACUACAUGCCAGCAGCCGCGGUAAUACGUAGGGGGCAAGCGUUGUCCGGAAUGAUUGGGCGUAAAGGGCGCGUAGGCGGCCUGGUAAGUCUGGAGUGAAAGUCCUGCUUUUAAGGUGGGAAUUGCUUUGGAUACUGUCGGGCUUGAGUGCAGGAGAGGUAAGUGGAAUUCCUGGUGUAGCGGUGAAAUGCGUAGAGAUCGGGAGGAACACCAGUGGCGAAGGCGACUUACUGGACUGUAACUGACGCUGAGGCGCGAAAGUGUGGGGAGCAAACAGGAUUAGAUACCCGAGUAGUCC
rnacentral:rRNA from 1 species